CCUACGGGAGGCUGCAGUGGGGAAUUUUGGACAAUGGGCGCAAGCCUGAUCCAGCAAUGCCGCGUGCAGGAUGAAGGCCUUCGGGUUGUAAACUGCUUUUGUACGGAACGAAAAGGCUCUGGCUAAUACCUGGGGCUGAUGACGGUACCGUAAGAAUAAGCACCGGCUAACUACGUGCCAGCAGCCGCGGUAAUACGUAGGGUGCGAGCGUUAAUCGGAAUUACUGGGCGUAAAGCGUGCGCAGGCGGUUUUGUAAGACAGGGGUAAAAUCCCCGGGCUUAACCUGGGAACUGCACUUGGGACUGCAAGGCUGGAGUACGGCAGAGGGGGAUGGAAUUCCGCGUGUAGCAGUGAAAGGCGUAGAUAUGCGGAGGACCACCGAUGGCGAGGGCAGUCCCCUGGGCCUUAACUGACGCUGAGGCACGAAAGCGGGGGGAGCAAACAGGAUUAGAUCCCCCGGUAGU
rnacentral:rRNA from 1 species